GGCCUAGAGGAGCCGAGGGGCGGGGCCGUCAGCUCUUCCCUUGCCCCGGAUUGCAGGGCUUCUUGGCUCAGGUGAGCGAUCCUGCCGCUCUCGCUACUCUGGCUCUGGGUAGCGCAGAGAGGCUGGACCCUUGGAGCUUCGGGACUUCUGCGUCCCGCAGCUCUGCCCCUCAAUCGCAUCUGUGCAACUUUGGGGUUGUCGUGUUUGCCCCCUUAAUCCGAAAAUGCGCCCUGUUGCGCCAUUAACCCGUAUGUUUCCCUAAGGGCAUUAGUAGUGGAGGGAGCAAGUGGAUCCUGGGUCCAAGUGGGACCUUCAGGUCUGGUUUUUCCGGAGCCAGGAAACAGUUGUUUUGACUUGUCUCAUACCACGUGAUCGCCCUGAGGGCUCUCUUGGACCUGUUAGUUUAAUUUGCCUGCGGUCAGCCCUUUGAGGCAUGAAGCCCAGAGGACCUGCUUUUUGUCUUCUCACUAUUUAAUUGCUUUUGUUCCAUUACAGAAAAUGACAGCUGUCUCUCGGAAUAGACGCGGAAGAAAACUGUCAAAUGUAGCAACCGUGACUAAUAAAGGGCAGGCUGGGCAGGUCUGAGGACCGUGCCCAAAAGGGAACCUAGGACCUAGGUGUGGGCCAUAGAGGUGGUGACUGUAAAAGAAAAGACUCUCUAACGCAAGAUGACAGCUCACCAUCCCACCAAGGCUUCGGAAGCCAGAGCUUGUGGGGCCUGGCAAGAGGCUCUGGGCUACAGGGCUCCACCUGGGUCCUCCCCAUUCCUCUCCCUGGUGACUCCCAGCCUGAAAGAAGCCAGAGGACUUUGUCAUCUGUCUACCCUGUGGUACCUUAGUCCUUUAAAUGAGUGUAUAAAGCUUGCUAAAUCUC